AGCAUAUGAAGUAUUUAUGAAUUUCUAAAACAAAAUAAAACUGUUUUAUAUGAUAGAAUGAGUGAAUAUUUUUUCCAUCUAGAGCAUAUCUGAGACAUCAAAUUCCUCUGGCCAAAAACUCAAAUAUACCUCUAUCAACAUAAUGUUUCAAAAUUGAUCUUUCUUCAGUGUAGGAAUGUGGCUCCAUCUUGGUCCAAUUCCCACACAUGGAGUUUUGAAAGUUUGUAAUCGGGAAGCUGGAGAUAAAGGAAAAAACAACAACAACAACAAAAACGUGUACAGAUCAUACCCUUGCUAAGAGCUGGAUCUACUGUGAGAAAAGUUGAAGAGAGAUGGGUAUGAAGUCCAUCAUGGCCCUGAAAUAUCCUCCCUGUUAUUGUUAAUGGCUUCUUGAUGAUCAGAGACAACACAAGUCAGAGGGACGAAGAUGUGGCUAAUGUCUCAGCAAAAUGACUUCUAGUCUUUCCAGUCUUGUUCAGGGAAGCUAAGAGGUGGACAGAGAGAGGUCAAAGAACGGAGAACAAAAGAUUGUGUACUCAUCCUUAAACCAUUCAUCUUUCUCAACCACUGCCCCCUUCCAUUACCAAGCCUCUGGAAACAUCCUAAAACAGGAACAGAGAUAAGCCAGGACCAGAUGAUCAAGAGGAGUGUUAUGAAAGAAGAACAAACUGAAAGUGUUGUUGAGUACAUGGAGAGACAAAAAUCGAGCUGGAAACUGUCCCUGAUGCAGGAAGAAGAGGAGACAGUGGCUAGGUCAAAGCGAGUGGAGAAGAUUUAGUGUCACUGAAAUCAAGAUAGAAGAAUUGCGAGGAAGGAGAACUGAGCUAUUUGGAUAGUUGAUGGGGGGUUGUUUUCGAUGUCAACCACAAAGAAGGCACAUUGGAGUUGUGGUAGUGAUUGAUGGUUUUCUGGUACAAGCUCAGUAGAGAAAAAAAAUUACUGGCCAACUGAAAGCAUUCUUUCUACAUUUUGAUACUGAAAAUAAACGGUGCUUGUGACUUCAUAUGAAGUAAAUAUGCAUACAAACCCAGUUGGCCAU
rnacentral:lncRNA from 1 species